GCGAGCCGUAUACGCUGAAAGGUGUACGUACGGUUCUGAGGGAGAAGCAUGAAACCUAUUUGUUUAAAUAAGGCGCAUGCCUUCUAUCCUAC
rfam:Gracilibacillus halophilus YIM-C55.5 contig_10, whole genome shotgun sequence.